UUGGCUCAGUUGGUAGAGCAUGGUGUUUGCAACGCCAGGGUUGUGGGUUCGAUUCCCACA
rfam:Salmo salar isolate Sally breed double haploid chromosome ssa16, whole genome shotgun sequence.